ACAAAUGGUUUAUAGCUAUGUGGUCCAAUAUGGUACCUGCUAGCCACAUGUGGCUAUUUAAAUUUAGUUAAAAUGGAAUAAAAGUUAAACUUAGUUCUUCGCACUACCCGUAUUUCAAGUGUUCAAAUGUGGCUCAUGGCUACCAUAUUGGAUAGCACAGAAUCCAAACAUUUCCAUUGUCACAGACAGUUCUAUUGGACGGUGCUGGUAUAACUUGUACCACUUCUGUUACACAAAAGGGAGAGACAGAGGGAAAAUACCAAGCUCACCACUCCAGUAGCACAGGAAGAGAGAAGACCGCAAGACCUACCCAUGCUUUCUGCCGUUGAAUGUGCUAUGAACUCCAGUUCCCAAAGGUGGCCCAUGUAACACCCUAGAACCUAACCAAUCCUAGGUACUCUUCCUCCUCCCUGGAGUGGAUCAAGGGCUGGUGUGAGCUUGUAAGUAUCUCUCUAAGCCCAGAGUCUGACUAUGAAGUAGGUGUGUCAUAUGUCCCUGG
rnacentral:lncRNA from 1 species